ACAAAAGGAUUCUGGAGGCAAUAAAAGGACAUAGAGACAAAAAGGCCUGGAGGCAAAAAGGAUUUGGAGGCAAAACAAGGACCUGGAGGCAAAAAUAGGAUUCUGAAGGUAAAAAGGAGGCAAAGAGGGCUUGAGAGGCACAAAGGAGCUGGAGCCCUUGCUGGCCUCUCUCCCACCUGGAUUCGCGGCUGCCCCGUGGAAUUGCUGCGGUUCCCCAAAACGGAGGGGGAAAAGCUCCUCCUUCCCUGCCCGCGGAUGAAUUCUCAGCCCUGCAGCUCCGGGCUGGGCCAGAGGAUCCCCCCAGCCCUGCCCCGAUCCCAGAAAUCACGGACACCCCGACGGGCCCCGCCAGGCCGGGUUUAUUCCCUCCCCAAAUCUGGAUGGAGCCACCCAAACCCCAAAUUGGGCUGUGGGGGGCCAGGCUGGGAGCACCCACCCCAGCGGGGCACGAACAGGAACCUGCAGCGCGGCUUUUGCUCCCUUUUUUAUAGAUUUCUGCGCGGAUGUAGAGAAAAUAGAGAGAACGUGGGGCGCCCCCAGCAGAGCCACGGCCGGCUGCAAACAGCUCUGAGGUGGGGAAUCAAAAGGGCCCCGUCCGGAUUGUCCCGGGCUGUCCCCUGCCUGUCCCGGGCUGUCCCCCUGCUGUCCCCCGGCUGUCCCCUCCUUGUCCCGGGCUGUCCCCUGCCUGUCCCGGGCUGUCCCGUGGCUGUCCCGGGCUGUCCCCUGCCUGUCCCGGGCUGUCCCGUGGCUGUCCCGGGCUGUCCCCUGCCUGUCCCGGGCUGUCCCCUCCCUGUCCCGGGCUGUCCCCUGCCUGUCCCCCGGCUGUCCCCUCCCUGUCCCGGGCUGUCCCCUGCCUGUCCCGGGCUGUCCCCUGGCUGUCUCUGCCUGUCCCCCGGCUGUCCCCUCGCUGUCCCCCGGGCUAUCCCCGGACUGUCCCCUUGCUUUUUCCCGGCUGUCCCCCUGUUGUCCCCUCGCUGUCCCUGGGGCUGUCCCUGGCUGUCCCCCCGUUGUCCCGGGCUGUCCCCGUUGUCCCCCCGUUGUCCCGGGCUGUCCCCCCGCU
rnacentral:lncRNA from 1 species